CUACGGGCCGCUGCAGUGGGGGAUAUUGCACAAUGGGGGAAACCCUGAUGCAGCAACGCCGCGUGAAGGAAGACGGAUUUCGGUCUGUAAACUUCUAUCAGCAGGGAUGAAAAUGACAGUACCUGACUAAGAAGCCCCGGCUAACUACGUGCCAGCAGCCGCGGUAAUACGUAGGGGGCAAGCGUUAUCCGGAUUUACUGGGUGUAAAGGGUACGUAGGCGGUUUGUUAAGUCAGGUGUGAAAGCCCGGAGCUCAACGCCGGGACUGCAUUUGAAACUGGCGAACUAGAGUACAGGAGAGGAAAGCGGAAUUCCUAGUGUAGCGGUGAAAUGCGUAGAUAUUAGGAAGAACACCAGUGGCGAAGGCGGCUUUCUGGACUGUAACUGACGCUGAGGUACGAAAGCGUGGGGAGCGAACAGGAUUAGAUACCCGCGUAGUC
rnacentral:rRNA from 1 species